GACAGAGGGUGCAAACGUUGUUCGGAAUUACUGGGCGUAAAGCGCGUGUAGGCGGCUCGGCAAGUCGGGUGUGAAAGCCCUGGGCUUAACCUAGGAAGUGCACUCGAAACUGCCAAGCUUGAGUUCUGGAGAGGAAGGCGGAAUUCUGGGUGUAGAGGUGAAAUUCGUAGAUAUCGAGAGGAACACCGGUGGCGAAGGCGGCCUUCUGGACAGCAACUGACGCUGAGACGCGAAAGCGUGGGGAGCAAACAGG
rnacentral:rRNA from 1 species